rnacentral:rRNA from 1 species
AUUCCAGCUCCAAUAGCGUAUAUUAAAGUUGUUGCGGUUAAAAAGCUCGUAGUUGGAUUUCUGCUGAGGAUGACCGGUCCGCCCUCCGGGUGAGUAUCUGGCUCAGCCUUGGCAUCUUCCUGAAGAACGUAACUGCACUUGACUGUGUGGUGCGGUAUUUAGGACAUUUACUUUGAGGAAAUUAGAGUGUUUCAAGCAAGCUUACGCCUUGAAUACAUUAGCAUGGAAUAAUAAGAUAGGACCUCGGUUCUAUUUUGUUGGUUUCUAGAGCUGAGGUAAUGAUUAAUAGGGACGGCCGGGGGCAUUCGUAUUACGGUGUUAGAGGUGAAAUUCUGGGAUCAUCGUAAGACGAACUACAGCGAAAGCAUUUGCCAAGAAUGUUUUCAUUA